UACCCAUUCUGACUUCCAGUUACAACAGAGAGGAAGACAGGAUUGCAGGGUAGCAUUUUGGUGGCCGAUUGAUUGGAUCGUGCCUUGCUAAUGUUAUAUAGCUAAUUUUAGAACAUGGAUGGGAAAAAAAAAUCCAUGGUAUUGUGAUCCUUUAUGUUUCAUACAUAUGUUUUUAGUAUGUUUAAAGGUGUUUGCUUAUAUUAACUUCUUG
rnacentral:misc_RNA from 1 species